UGCUUAUAUUAGUUCAGACCCAUGGAUAUUUGUUUUAUCUUUUGGGUUACUUACUAUUCAGAACUGUUUUUAUUUUGUUGCUCGUAGUCUAACCUCAUCCAUCAGGAGCUUUAUCAGUGGUCCCGGUGUUCGUGAUAACUAACAUGGGUGACUAUAACCCACAUAAACAAAGGAUCUUUGGGAGAACCUUGUAAUAUUUGUGUUUCUAAGACAAAAAAAAGAAAAAUCUAAGAACCUCCAGAGAUCCCUCGCCCAAUCUGGCUCCAGGUGCGUUUGGUUUUACAAGAAGAGGUUGUGGUCCUGUCCUGGCGGCGGAAUCUCUGAGCAUCACACUCUCACACAUGGAGAACAGUUCUCCAUGUCCACCCCUGUCUGAAUCCCAGGGAUCCCUAAGACUUGCCCUUCCAGAAAACGCCACGGCGGGGCGCCCUGCCCACGGGGUGCAAUCCAGUUGGCAGCGCGCUUAACGGAGGGCUGGGCGUUUGUGCUCGCUCAACACUAUCCCUUUCUAGCCCCGGCCCAGGCGGCCUGCCUCACUCCAGGGUCUGUAGCGUCUCUCUGAGCCACGUCCGCGCUGUGUGGCGCUCGGUACGGAGCGAUCGCGGCCAGAGUGGUCGGCGGGCUCCACUCCCCUCUGCGCCCUCCUGCCCUCUGCCGCAGACAGCAGCGGGACGCUCGCGGCCCAGACCCCGCCCUUCUGUCUCUCGGUCCCGGCGUACUGGGCUGGGCAGACCCUUUUCCAGCGCACCAAAAGCCAGCGAUAAAAAGCUGCAGCUGGAGACCUGGCUAAUUGAUACAAUAAGUUCUGUAAUUGCCUCGAAAAUAAGAUACCUGCAUGGUAUAGCGUGUAGCAGGGCAGGAGGCCGGGCACUGAGGCUGGUGUGAACUCAGCUGCAAUUCAAAUGGGACCUGCCUUAGUCUGCAAAGAAAUCUCAGGAAAGGCAUCCGAGGGCCUCUCGUGUAAGUAGCAAGCUCAGGAAUUCCUUGACUUUCAUCCAACCCACCCUCAGCCCCUUCUUGGCCUUUCUCUCUCUGCUCAUUACCAUCCACACCACCUCCCACCCACCAGGAAACAGAAGGUCAUCACCAAUCCAGGGAAAGGGGGCUUUCUGGAAGAUAAGCCAGGGUGGAACGAGAGCUGUUCACCCACAUCCCAACUCCCCUUAGCUCAUCUCCACUCCCAUCCAAAGGCCAGUUAACAAUGUAAAGUCAUUCAGCCACACAAAACUUAGCACAAAGUAAAGGAGGGAUCUUAACCCUAAGUGGCCUCGGUAGAGAUCAGAGCGUGAAGUGCACAAUCAAAGCUGAGAGCGAAUCUCCUCUUUAGGCAUUCAUUUUGGAAAGGAGAGGAGGGUGCCACUGCUAAGUAGAGAGGUAGCUUGGAAGCUGUCUGCAGAAGGCCCCAAGGAAUUCGGCUUUGUGUGUGCGUGUGUGCAUUACUAAGGGAUGGGGUGAGAGGGGGGCAGCCUGGAAUCCCUUGGGUCUCUGCUAGUACUAUUGCCAUUGUUUCUGCAGCAUACAGCCUGGACCGAAACAGAGCUUAGAUACCACCUAAGGCCUUCUUCUCCUCUGUGUCCUUUAAGAUGACCUCAUCAUUGGUAGAUACAGAGCAAGUGCUUACUAAGUUUGACUUGACACAAAGCAGGGC
rnacentral:lncRNA from 1 species